AACCCAGGAGCCGGUUCCCAGCCUCCAGCCGCGCGCCUGCCGGAAGAGGGGAGAGAAAGGAGGGGUAAAACCCUUCACGCGCCUGCGCUCAGCAGCCUGCCGGCUCAGCCAAGGAGAGCUCUGCCCGCGGCUCACUCCCCACCUACUCGCGUCUCGCGUCUCGCGCCACGCGGACCCCAGAAACCCGGACCCGAGAGCGAACGCGUCGCGCUCCCGCGCAGACUUAAGGUCCCGGGCGGGCGCCUGCGCACGAGCUUCCCAGGCGCGCAAGCUGCGGGGUUAUUAGAGGUCGGGCCGGGCCCGGCAGGUUCCGCGAGCGCCUGGCAGACUGAGGGAGAGAGAGAGAGAGAAAGAGGAGGGGAGGAGGAGGAUUCAGGGAAUAGGAGCUGGGGAGCCCUUCUGCGCCACAGGAAGUGUUUUCCUUUGAUUUAUAUACAUGGAUUUAGAAAUGUGUAUAUCAUACAUAUCUGUGUCUUUUCUGUUCUGGAGAUGAACAACCACAGAUACUAUCAGGGAGAUGCUGUUUUUCCAGCAGCUAAGUUGAGGAAGAACUUAGUUCAUCUCUGUUUCGUGAUUCCUCUUCAAUUUGUUUGCUAACCAAGACUUGUGUUUGGAGAACUCUAUUGUACUGAGCCUAAGUCAUCUUUGAUCUAUAACAAGAAACAUGCAUUUUCACAUGUCAACCAGAUUUGUGGACCAGUAAAGUUCUCCCAAAAGGUAAGCAUAUAUAUAUUUAAAAUAUACAUUUUAAAAUAGAAUAGUCUAAAUACUCUUACCACAAUAAUGUGUUCCAUAGAUAUUUGUGCAAAAAAAAAGAAAAAAAGUAUGUGUGUGUACUUCUGCCAAAUUUAGAUUGAAGACUUCUUCAGGGAAUAGUGUUGCGCCUGCAACACAGUUACUCAGUUUCCUCAUCUGUUUCUGUCUUACCUCCUACUUUCAGUCACCAGUUUCCAUUCUUUUCCCUUUGCUCAUUGUUUUUCUUCUCAGUUGGCUGAAUCUUCCAGGUGUCUUUUAAAAAUGUUUUCCCACCAGCGGAUUUAAGCACUUUCCUUAAGGAACACUUUUUGUAUCCAUAGGCCUUUUAUUUUCUAUUCUCCACCCCACAACAUUUGAUGCAGUUUCUUUUCUGCAUCAAUGAAGCUGCCUUUUCCCUUGUCUCUUCUGUGCUUCUCAUCCCUUUCCCCGUUCAAUAUAAGCGAUCAAAUGACUUAAGAACUGGAUUACUGCUGGGAAACUCCGCAGUCCUUACUGGGUUCUUUUAUAGUAAGAGGUACACAAGUGUUGAGAUCUCAGAAUUUUAAAGAAAAAUAAAUCUUUGAUGUAAUCAUAUCUUUAUAGUAAC
rnacentral:lncRNA from 13 species